UAUCCUGAAAGCAGCUUUGUUAAGAACAGAUGAUUCCUUUUUCCCUUUCCCUGCAAAGAAGGAUGGGAUUUUUCUCUGACAUUUACUGAGGGAAGCUGGUAGUGCUCCUGGGGGUAAACUUCACAGUACUGUGUCCUUCCCUCACUCCAUGACUGGGUCCCUUGGAGUUUUUAACUCUCAAAGUUGUCAGCACUGAGCCUGCAGCAGUUUGUCCAUUACAGUCAAGACUCUCCUUCCUGGCACUGGUUCCUGUGGUGGAUUCAGCUACUGAGUCUCUGCUCUGUGGGUUAGGCAAUCACUGCUGAUUUCAUCAUCUCAACAACAGCUCAGACCACCUGGUGUUGGAAGGCAGUAUCUAUCUAGCCAUAGAAAGGACUGCUGGGAGAAUAAUGGGUUUUAAAGAAAUGGUUCCUGUAAGAGUGGCAAGAAUUCAAGGGUGUUGGACGCAACACCUGGUGAUCUUUUUAAUUUCCUUCCUAAGAGUUGUUCCUCAGUGCGUGACCCUACUAUCAGUACCUUAGGAUGAACAAAGCCUAUCUCCCCAACCUGUGAUGACCCAGACCUCUGGUACAGAAGUUCUCUGGAGUAAAUUCAAUAGUUACAGAAGCCCUGACUUUAUGAAGUGCUGGUCUCCAGGAAGACUCCUGUCAGAGAUGACAUUUAAGAGAUUGCUUCACAGAGGAAGAGGACAAAUGCCAAAUUUCUUUUGGGGCACAUAAGUUCAGUUCAGUUCAGUCACUCAGUUGUGUCCCACUCUUUGUGACCCCAUGGACUGCAGCACACCAGGCUUCCCUGAUCAUCACCAAUUCCUGGAGCUUGCACAAAUUCAUGUCCAUCGAGUUGGUGAUGCCAUCCAACCAUCUCAUUUUCUGUCAUCCCCUUGUCCUCCCGCCUUUAAUCUUCCCCAGCAUCAGGGUCUUUUCUGAUGAGUCAGUUCUUUAUGGGACACAUAAAGGGCCCCUUUAAUAUACAGGGGCCCAUUUUGCAUCACAUUGACAAGAAUUAACUCCCUUGGAAUCUCUGCUCUCCUGUCUCAUCUAUCUCAGAUUCCUUCCUUUCUACACUUAGUGAAUGAAAUCACUCCCUUUGUAGAGAUGUGCUCAUUAAACAAAGAUAAAGUGGAGCUUGUAAUGGUGUGUAAACCUGGUGCUGCUCAUAGCCACCACAGAGGGAUCAGAAUGAGACUCCUGUGAUUGUCCAGGUUUAUUUGAUUUAUAUCUUUUUUGGAAUUAGCUACCAUUGCAGCAAAACAGGCAUUAGUGUUUUAGACUAUGUAUCAUGAAAACAUUCUGAAGAGUAAUAUUAACACAUUUGUCUCCAAUUAAAAUACAUAAAUUUAAAUAAAAAAUUAAAAAAUUAAUAAUUUAUUUUAGAAGAUAUUAAAUUUAUUUAGGAAGAUACCAAAUCCCACUUUUAUACCACUGAUUUCUUCCUUUUUUUUUUGACUUGGGUUUUAUUAUUCUCAUAUCACACUAUUCUAAUUCUCCAGUUGUGAUCCCAUGGAGACAUUCCAUUGUACUCAGAGCCCCUCUAACUCUGAGGUAUACAGAUAACAAAGAGAAAGCCUACAACGUUCUCAAAAGAACUUUUGUUCUUUGCUCUGUGGUUACCAUCUUUCUUUUACUCCCUCUCCUCCGGCUGCAACCUUGUUUCUCAUGAGUCACUGUGGACUCCAGCUUCAUGGAAGCUAUUUCUGAUCCACCUGGUCCAGCACCUUCCACUCCUCAACCCCACCUUUCCCACAGAGGUGCAUGGGGCUGGUUGAGGCAGGCGUCUUUAUGGUUCCACUCCACAGUUAUUCAUAAUGCUGGAAAGAACUUGAGAGAGCUGUGUUAUUCCCACAGAGGUGCAUGGGGCUGGUUGAGGCAGGCGUCUUUAUGGUUCCACUCCACAGUUAUUCAUAAUGCUGGAAAGAACUUGAGAGAGCUGUGUUAUUCCCACAGAAAUGAAGUGACUUGUUCUAGGUCACACUGUUCUGAAACUCAGAGACUUGGCCCUAAGACCAGUUGUUUUUCUGCAAAGGGAGUGUCUUCAGUUUUCAAAUCAAAGCAUCAGAUGAUGCAAACACUGCUGAGAGAUGCCUCAGAGACUGGUGAUAAUUAGAUAAAUUCUCAUCUGGAAAAAAUAUUCAGUGUACAUUUUUCUUUUAUUCUUAAGUUCUUCUGAAAACCAGUGCUUUCUGUAAGUCUUGACAUUGUAUUGGAAGAGACUGAUUAAAGAAAAUGGAAUAAUUUCAUUUUACUAUAUUAUCAAUGUUUUCUUCUAUCCUCAAAAUUUUGCCUAUUUCUUAUAAAGUUGUGGGAUUGAGAAUAUAUUUCUUAGAGUUUAGCAUCUUGUGGUUUAAUUUACUAUGUUUUAAGGCAUUCUCCUAGUAAUGGUCUGAGUAAACUAUACUUUAAAAUUUAAUAUAGAAAACAUGAACAUUUUAUGAACAAACCAAUUAUUAUGCUUCUAAAUUAACAAAAUUGCUUUAGAUAUAUAAAGAGAUGCUAAAAAACAAG